AUUUCUCCCAAACCCAUAGUUUACAAAAUUAGGUUUCUGUCUUUCUUAUUUUUUUUUUCUUCUUCUUCUUCUUUAAUUCAUUUUCUUCUUCCUCUCCGUUCUACUGUGUGUUCCCGAUGAGCAAAAUUAUCCAUCGGGAAAAUCCUAAAAAUCAAAUCAGUGAAUAUGAAUUGUUGUUGGUGACUGAGCAAUUGAGAAGAAUUUGUUAUUGGGUUUCUGUUGCAAUUACCAGUUCUUGAGCAAUUGAGAAGAAACUAAACAGUGGAGAAGACAAAGUCUUCAGGAUUUGGCUAAGGAGCUCUUCAUGAUCCAGGUAAGGAGUUAAUCUUUCCUUCGUAUAAUUAUCUCCUCAAUCUCUCUAUCUAUCUACCCUCCCUUCACAGCAGAAGAACUCUAUUCGAUUUGAAAAUUAGGGCACAUUUUGUUUGCUUUGUGUUUGUAAAGUUCGUGGUUCUUAUCGAAAUUGACCCAAAGUUUCUCUACAUGUUUGUUUGCCAAUUAAGUUCUCGGUUCAAAACUUGAGUCAAAUGAUUGAGAAAUGUUUCAUUUUUUAUCAGAAAUUUUUAGAUGCAAUUUGUUUGAUAUAUACAUCUUCCAAACUGAUCUUAUUUUGAUCGAAUUGAUGGAUAUCAUUUAGUAAUUCGGUUUACUGUGUUAAUUUUUGUUUCAUAUAAUUUUUUUGAGCAAGAGGAGGAAAACGAGAUGGGAUUUACACGGAAGAAUUCUGGCUACUAAAUGAUGGCUUUGCUGAAUGCUGAAGAUAAUGAGUAUCCGGAUGGGGUGCAACCAUCUUAGAAUUUGUGAUGACUUCUACUGACAUAAUAACCAAUGUUGCUCCUGCAACUCUUUUAGAAUGCAACAAUGAAAAAGGAUUUUCAUCAAAAAAACAUUGAUUCAAUCUUCAUUGUGGGGCGUUCUACUAAAAAGGGUCAUAGAGGAUGCGGUUACAUUGGAGAGAAAGGAGUUAAUUGGGGAGAGGAAGUUUGGUUUGAGAUUGGGUUCAGGUUUGGUGAAAGUCAGUGGAAAUAGGCAUGUUACUGCCAAGGUUUCGAAGUGGUCUCAGUUGAGAGCAACAAACAAAUUUGUAGCUGCGAUUGCACUAUUUUCUUGCCUGUUGUAGCCACUGCUCGACGACUGUCUAGGAGGGGUAUUACACAAUGGCCAAUGGAUGUUUUUGAUAACCACAUGAAGAGAAGAUAUGUGCAUAGAUUGGUUAGCUUUGGGUCUGUUUGUGCCGAUAAGCCAGCCAAGAAAAGGUAGCUUUGGCCGUUUUUUUAUGCGAAAAGGUUGCAGAAAUAACAAUCUGGUGGCACUAGUUUCGGAUGCCGGAUGUUGAAAUUAAAACUGGGAAUCCAAAAGCUUCAAUGAAUCAUGAAGUGGUACAAGUCAGAAGAUAAAAUUGGCGGCGGGAUAUACGAGUUUCCAGUCACGCUUUUGAUCAAAUUGCAAUUUACUUGGAUAGAACUUGAACUCAAUUGCAAAUAGUGGAAUUUGUUUUACAUUAGGAAAGUAUGUUAGUAUUUGUAUAUUUGAAUAAUAUGUUAUGAGCUAUGGAAUUGGUUGCAUAACC